rnacentral:rRNA from 1 species
CCUACGGGAGGCAGCAGUGAGGAAUAUUGGUCAAUGGGCGCGAGCCUGAACCAGCCAAGUAGCGUGAAGGAUGACUGCCCUACGGGUUGUAAACUUCUUUUAUAAGGGAAUAAAGUGAGUCACGUGUGCCUUUUUGUAUGUACUUUAUGAAUAAGGAUCGGCUAACUCGGUGCCAGCAGCCGCGGUAAUACGGAGGAUCCGAGCGUUAUCCGGAUUUAUUGGGUUUAAAGGGAGCGUAGAUGGGUUGUUAAGUCAGUUGUGAAAGUUUGAGGCUCAACCGUAAAAUUGCAAUUGGUACUGGCAUCCUUGAGUACAGGUGAGGCAGGCGGAAUUCGUGGUGUAGCGGUGAAAUGCUUAGAUAUCACGAAGAACUCCGAUUGCGAAGGCAGCCUACUAAACUGCCACUGACAUUGAUGCUCGAAAGUGUGGGUAUCAAACAGGAUUAGAUACCCCGGUAGUC